rnacentral:rRNA from 1 species
UGCAGUCGAACGAUGAACUGGAGCUUGCUCCAGGGAUUAGUGGCGAACGGGUGAGUAACACGUGAGUAACCUGCCCUUGACUCUGGGAUAAGCGCUAGAAAUGGCGUCUAAUACCGGAUACGAGCUUCAGCCGCAUGGCUAGGAGUUGGAAAGAAUUUUGGUCAAGGAUGGACUCGCGGCCUAUCAGCUAGUUGGUGAGGUAAUGGCUCACCAAGGCGACGACGGGUAGCCGGCCUGAGAGGGUGACCGGCCACACUGGGACUGAGACACGGCCCAGACUCCUACGGGAGGCAGCAGUGGGGAAUAUUGCACAAUGGGCGAAAGCCUGAUGCAGCAACGCCGCGUGAGGGAUGACGGCCUUCGGGUUGUAAACCUCUUUUAGUAGGGAAGAAGCGAAAGUGACGGUACCUGCAGAAAAAGCACCGGCUAACUACGUGCCAGCAGCCGCGGUAAUACGUAGGGUGCAAGCGUUGUCCGGAAUUAUUGGGCGUAAAGAGCUCGUAGGCGGUUUGUCGCGUCUGCUGUGAAAUCUGGGGGCUCAACCCCCAGCCUGCAGUGGGUACGGGCAGACUAGAGUGCGGUAGGGGAGAUUGGAAUUCCUGGUGUAGCGGUGGAAUGCGCAGAUAUCAGGAGGAACACCGAUGGCGAAGGCAGAUCUCUGGGCCGUAACUGACGCUGAGGAGCGAAAGCAUGGGGAGCGAACAGGAUUAGAUACCCUGGUAGUCCAUGCCGUAAACGUUGGGAACUAGAUGUGGGGGCCAUUCCACGGUCUCCGUGUCGCAGCUAACGCAUUAAGUUCCCCGCCUGGGGAGUACGGCCGCAAGGCUAAAACUCAAAGGAAUUGACGGGGGCCCGCACAAGCGGCGGAGCAUGCGGAUUAAUUCGAUGCAACGCGAAGAACCUUACCAAGGCUUGACAUAUACCGGAAACGUCCAGAGAUGGUCGCCCCGCAAGGUCGGUAUACAGGUGGUGCAUGGUUGUCGUCAGCUCGUGUCGUGAGAUGUUGGGUUAAGUCCCGCAACGAGCGCAACCCU